rnacentral:rRNA from 1 species
UACGUAGGGUGCAAGCGUUGUCCGGAAUUAUUGGGCGUAAAGCGCUCGUAGGCGGGAUCGAUAGUCCGUGAAGAAAGACCUGGGCUCAACUCAGGGAACGGCACGGAUACUUCGAUUCUUGAGGCAAUCAGAGGGUGAUGGAAUUCCCGGUGUAGCAGUGAAAUGCGUAGAGAUCGGGAGGAACACCAGUGGCGAAGGCGGCCUUCUGGACCAGUACUGACGCUCAUGCACGAAAGCGUGGGGAGCAAACAGG